UAAGACCUACGGGAGGCAGCAGUGGGGAAUAUUGCACAAUGGGGGAAACCCUGAUGCAGCAACGCCGCGUGAGUGAAGAAGUAUUUCGGUAUGUAAAGCUCUAUCAGCAGGGAAGAAAAAAGACGGUACCUGACUAAGAGGCCCCGGCUAACUACGUGCCAGCAGCCGCGGUAAUACGUAGGGGGCAAGCGUUAUCCGGAUUUACUGGGUGUAAAGGGAGCGUAGACGGCAUAGCAAGUCUGAAGUGAAAUGCCGCAGCUUAACUGCGGAACUGCUUUGGAAACUGGCGAACUAGAGUGCGGGAG
rnacentral:rRNA from 1 species